rnacentral:hammerhead_ribozyme from 1 species
GCACCGCUGGGGAGUCCCACAAUAGGACGAAACAGCUGUCCAGUGC